CCCACACUUUGUCAGUUUUCCCACUUCUAUCUCACUCACUUUUAUCUCUCAAUUUUCACACACUCCCUCUUCCUAGGAGCCCUAGCUCUUUUCUCCUUCCUCUUCCGCUAUCUUUCCACGGCAACCACUGCCUCCCUCUUCGGUCUCUCCUUAAUUAACGGCCUCCUCCCUCUCGCCGGCACCAUCACCUCUGCCUGCAAGCUCUCUCUCUCUCUCUCACUCACAUAUAUUUUUGUGGCUCAUCUCGGAGGUGCAACCUGGCGUUGACUCAUCGGAGGAAGGUGAAGAACAUGGUGUCGACGGUGAGUCCACCCCGGUGGUCGGAGAUCGGUGACGGAGGAGACAUAGUCCUCCAGAUCUACUUUCUCUCUCCUCCCUCUCUAUCUUGUCUGUGCUUUUCUUUCUUCUCUAAUGAACUAGACGAAUCCAGUAGCUAACCAAGCUUGGAUGGGAUGCGGAUUUGAAAUGUAGAGGAAAUUUAUGCUGUGCCAUUUUAUUUUUUUUGAUGAUUUGGGAGUUGAAUUUUUGAUGUUUGAGGUUAUAUUUUGUUGCAGAGAUGAGUGAGUCGGCGAAGGUUUUGUACAUAGUGGUGGUGGAUGGUGAGGAAGAUUUGUUAGGUUGUUUGUGAUUGAUUGGUUCACUGUUGAAUCCCAAGGUUCCUGGGAAGAUAAAUCUUGUACUGGAGUACUGCAGAGGAGGUGAUCUUUCUAUGUAGUAUGUACAUUCAACGCCAUGGCAUGGAAAAGUACCUGAAGCUCUUGCAAAGCACUUCAUGCAGCGGCUAGGUUUUUUUCAUCUGUCCAUUUAGUUUCCAAUUUUCCAUUAAUUUGGGUCUCUUGGCAUCCUUAUUUUAAACUCUUGACCUUGUUGUUUGAUAUGGAUCUCCUACUUUUUGCAAUAGUCUUUGUUGAGUUACAUUGUUAAAAUGUGCUGACUCAAUAUUUCAUGACUUCACGUUGAUUCCUGAGUAUAGAAAGAUCCACAUGUUUGUCUAUAAUUGACCAUAAUCUUGAGAACUUUUCCAACCGGAACAUAAAUGUGGUAGGGUUUCUUUAGUGUAAAUUCCUUGUUUGCUUGCACACUCUCAAGCGUAUAAACUAUCUUGCUGUGGAAUUGGCAAGAGGAUGACCCUUAAUUGUAUAGUGUUCCAUUCUUAAUUGUAUAUAAUCCAUUGUGGGGAGAAGUGAUGAUUUGUUUUUGUUUCUGUGGCUAUCAUCAUGCAUUUUAAACUGUCAAAAGCUUGGAUAUUCUUCUUUUAUGGUGUUUUUUUGUUUAGUUAUAUGGAAUUUGAGAGAGCAUGUAUGUAACAUGUUUUGUUGUUUCUCCUCUCCUUAGCUAAAGCUAUAGAUGAGUAUGCCAGUACGUCUUAAAUCUAAGGCAGCAUAAUCAAAUGCUGAAGCAGCAAAUGCGGAUCCUAGGUUGGAGGCUAUCACGGAGAGAAUGUUGAGCAAGUGUGCAAGCUUAUGUGCUUUUAAAUGUAAAAUUUGUUCCCCUAGCUUUCUGACCAUUUUUUUCAUUUUAGGUGUAAGUGCCUUUUUUUGUAAAUUGUAAGGAUCAUGAUCAAAUACAUAAACUAAUGUAAUGCCCCAAUGUUACAACUACUCUUGAAUCAUUUUAUUUUGAGAAAUGUGGAUUGAAUA